GGUGGUGGAUUAGUGGCGAACGGGUGAGUAACACGUGGGCAAUCUGCCCUUCACUCUGGGACAAGCCCUGGAAACGGGGUCUAAUACCGGAUAACACUCUGUCCCGCAUGGGACGGGGUUAAAAGCUCCGGCGGUGAAGGAUGAGCCCGCGGCCUAUCAGCUUGUUGGUGGGGUAAUGGCCUACCAAGGCGACGACGGGUAGCCGGCCUGAGAGGGCGACCGGCCACACUGGGACUGAGACACGGCCCAAACUCCUACGGGAGGCAGCAGUGGGGAAUAUUGCACAAUGGGCGAAAGCCUGAUGCAGCGACGCCGCGUGAGGGAUGACGGCCUUCGGGUUGUAAACCUCUUUCAGCAGGGAAGAAGCGAAAGUGACGGUACCUGCAGAAGAAGCGCCGGCUAACUACGUGCCAGCAGCCGCGGUAAUACGUAGGGCGCAAGCGUUGUCCGGAAUUAUUGGGCGUAAAGAGCUCGUAGGCGGCUUGUCACGUCGGAUGUGAAAGCCCGGGGCUUAACCCCGGGUCUGCAUUCGAUACGGGCUAGCUAGAGUGUGGUAGGGGAGAUCGGAAUUCCUGGUGUAGCGGUGAAAUGCGCAGAUAUCAGGAGGAACACCGGUGGCGAAGGCGGAUCUCUGGGCCAUUACUGACGCUGAGGAGCGAAAGCGUGGGGAGCGAACAGGAUUAGAUACCCUGGUAGUCCACGCCGUAAACGUUGGGAACUAGGUGU
rnacentral:rRNA from 1 species